AUUGAACGCUGGCGGCAUGCCUUACACAUGCAGGUCGAACGGCAGCACGGGGCAACCUGGUGGCGAGUGGCGAACGGGUGAGUAAUGCAUCGGAACGUGCCAUUGAGUGGGGGAUAACGUAGCGAAAGUUGCGCUAAUACCGCAUAUUCUGUGAGCAGGAAAGCAGGGGACCGCAAGGCCUUGCGCUCUUUGAGCGGCCGAUGUCAGAUUAGCUAGUUGGUGAGGUAACGGCUUACCAAGGCGACGAUCUGUAGCGGGUCUGAGAGGAUGAUCCGCCACACUGGAACUGAGACACGGUCCAGACUCCUACGGGAGGCAGCAGUGGGGAAUUUUGGACAAUGGGCGCAAGCCUGAUCCAGCCAUGCCGCGUGAGUGAAGAAGGCC
rnacentral:rRNA from 1 species